rnacentral:misc_RNA from 1 species
GAAGAGACCAUCAUCAUUGAGGUGACAU